GUGAAUCAUCGAAUUUUUGAACGCAAAUUGCACUCCCUGGUAUUCCGGGGAGUAUGCCUGUUUGAGGGUCGUUAAAAGAAAAAUCGAAUCAUCGCUCUUUUUUUUGAGGGUUAUCGCGUCGGAAUUGAGCCGUCUUUCAAAUGUUAAUUCAUGUCAAAGUGUCUUAAAACUCAUCCAUCCGGUACGAUUAAAGCGUAUUUAAGAUCAAUUUGGAUUAAGAACGCGCGAUGACGUACCAUCGCAU
rnacentral:misc_RNA from 1 species